rnacentral:rRNA from 1 species
UACGUAGGGUGCGAGCGUUAAUCGGAAUUACUGGGCGUAAAGCGUGCGUAGGCGGUUCUCCAAGUCCGUUGUGAAAGCCCCGGGCUCAACCUGGGAAUGCCAUUCGAGACUGCAUAGCUAGGGUGCGGAAGAGGGAAGCGGAAUUUCCGGUGUAGCGGUGAAAUGCGUAGAUAUCGGAAGGAACACCAGUGGCGAAAGCGGCUUCCUGGUCCAGCACCGACGUCAGGCACGAAAGCGUGGGGAGCAAACAGG